UAGUCCACGCCGUAAACGAUGUCUACUAGCCGUUGGGGUACUUGAGACCUUAGUGGCGCAGCUAACGCACUAAGUAGACCGCCUGGGGAGUACGGCCGCAAGGUUAAAACUCAAAUGAAUUGACGGGGGCCCGCACAAGCGGUGGAGCAUGUGGUUUAAUUCGAUGCAACGCGAAGAACCUUACCAGGUCUUGACAUCCAGAGAACUUUCCAGAGAUGGAUUGGUGCCUUCGGGAGCUCUGUGACAGGUGCUGCAUGGCUGUCGUCAGCUCGUGUCGUGAGAUGUUGGGUUAAGUCCCGUAACGAGCGCAACCCUUACCAUUAGUUGCCAGCAUUUAGCUGGGCACUCUAGUGGGACUGCCGGCGUUAAGCCGGAGGAAGGUGGGGAUGACGUCAAGUCCUCAUGGCCCUUAUGUCCAGGGCUACACACGUGCUACAAUGGGAAGUACAAAGGGUUGCUAAGCCGCGAGGUGGAGCUAAUCCCAGAAAACUUUUCUAAGUUCGGAUUGGAGU
rnacentral:rRNA from 1 species